rnacentral:rRNA from 1 species
UACGUAGGGUGCAAGCGUUAUCCGGAAUUAUUGGGCGUAAAGAGCUCGUAGGCGGUUUGUCGCGUCUGCUGUGAAAACUGGAGGCUCAACCUCCAGCCUGCAGUGGGUACGGGCAAACUAGAGUGCGGUAGGGGAGAUUGGAAUUCCUGGUGUAGCGGUGGAAUGCGCAGAUAUCAGGAGGAACACCGAUGGCGAAGGCAGAUCUCUGGGCCGUAACUGACGCUGAUGCACGAAAGCGUGGGGAGCAAACAGG